UACGGAGGGGGUUAGCGUUGUUCGGAAUUACUGGGCGUAAAGCGCACGUAGGCGGAUCGGAAAGUAAGAGGUGAAAUCCCAGGGCUCAACCCUGGAACUGCCUUUUAAACUCCUGGUCUAGAGAUCGAGAGAGGUGAGUGGAAUUCCAGUGUAGAGGUGAAAUUCGUAGAUAUUGGAGGAACACCAGUGGCGAAGGCGGCUCACUGGCUCGAUACUGACGCUGAGGUGCGAAAGCGUGGGGAGCAAACAG
rnacentral:rRNA from 1 species